UACGUAGGGCGCAAGCGUUGUCCGGAAUUAUUGGGCGUAAAGAGCUCGUAGGUGGCUUGUUGCGUCUGCCGUGAAAGCCCGUGGCUUAACUACGGGUCUGCGGUUGAUACGGGCAGGCUAGAGGCUGGUAGGGGCAAGCGGAAUUCCUGGUGUAGCGGUGAAAUGCGCAGAUAUCAGGAGGAACACCGGUGGCGAAGGCGGCUUGCUGGGCCAGUUCUGACGCUGAGGAGCGAAAGCGUGGGGAGCGAACAGG
rnacentral:rRNA from 1 species